rnacentral:rRNA from 1 species
UUAAGACCUCAAAUCAGGUGGGAUUACCCGCUGAACUUAAGCAUAUCAAUAAGCGGAGGAAAAGAAACUAACAAGGAUUCCCCUAGUAACGGCGAGUGAAGAGGGAAAAGCCCAAAUUUGUAAUCUGGCCCUUUUAGGGUCCGAAUUGUAAUUUUGAGAACUGUUUUCAGUGCUGGACCAUGUUUAAGUCUGUUGAAAAGCAGCAUCAUUGAGGGUGACAAUCCCGUUCAUGAUAUGGACCACCAGUGCUUUAUGAUACAGUCUCUAAGAGUCGAGUUGUUUGGGAAUGCAGCUCAAAGUGGGUGGUAAAUUCCAUCUAAGGCUAAAUAUAGGUGAGAGACCGAUAGCAAACAAGUACCGUGAGGGAAAGAUGAAAAGAACUUUGGAAAGAGAGUUAACAGUACGUGAAAUUGCUGAAAGGGAAACAAUUGAAGUUAGCCUUGUUAUUGUCAGUUCAGCUCUUUUAGGGUGUAUUCUGAUGAUUAACGACCAACAUCAGUCUUUGGGUGUUGGAUAAGGGUUUUGGAAAUGUAGCAGUCUUGGCUGUGUUAUAGUCCAUUACUUUGAUACAAUGCUUGGGAUUGAGGAUCGCAGUAAGCCAUUCUAUGGUAGAUCAAUUUUUAUUGUUCUUCUUACUGAGGAUGUUGGUGAAAUAGCUUUAAAUGACCC